UACUCCUACGGGAGGCAGCAGUAGGGAAUCUUCCGCAAUGGACGAAAGUCUGACGGAGCAACGCCGCGUGAGUGAUGAAGGUUUUCGGAUCGUAAAGCUCUGUUGUUAGGGAAGAACAAGUACCGUUCGAAUAGGGCGGUACCUUGACGGUACCUAACCAGAAAGCCACGGCUAACUACGUGCCAGCAGCCGCGGUAAUA
rnacentral:rRNA from 1 species